UCCAGUUGUUCCUACACCGCCGAGCAUGGAGAAGAAGGAGCAACUCUUCCGGCUUUGGUGUCCUCAGAUUCAGGCUGGGAGAGAUGACUGAAGGCACUGUAAGAUGCCACGGCUCCUUCUGAAUCAUUGAAGAACCAUGAAGUGACGUGCCUUCAAAUGUAUUUUGAUGCUUGGAAAGCCGGUAACUCCGUGUGAGUCACAUGUAAUAGCUCUCUGCAAUCCGCAUACCCAAUAGUACAAAAGUAUUCAAAGCCUGAGCAUGUUGGGCAACAGGUAACUCACCUCUGAGUGUCAGAAACGGGUUCUAGAUUCAAUAUUCCCACUGGGAAACAGAGGCCUAGGAAGACUGGCUUCUUGCCUGGUGUCUGCCUGCCCACCGACCAGACCACAUUUCAGAACAUGUGUUCUCAUCUCUCCUGACAGCCUGCCUCCUCCACAGCAGGAGCCACUGUCCUUCUCUGCAGGGUCAGCUCUGAGACCUCCCCAGGGAAGCCCCCCUACCCUCGGAGAAGCCUCCUGAGUCCUGGCAGCUGGAGAGGGCUGCAGUUCUUCAGAGAAAAUAUCCACUGCACUGCGUUGCCAUCUUCUGUUUGCUGGGCAGUCUCUUGUGUGAGAUUUCAAACUCCUUAAGGCCAAGGUUCUUAGUCAUCUGUGUUGGCGUCAGCUCCAAGCACAGAGCUAAAAAGCAGUGGAGUGAUGGAAUAUUGGCACAGGAAGGAAAUGGAAUGACAGCCCCAUCCAUGGAUCAUAUUGUACCCUUCUCAUUCAGAGUGCAACCACACACUCACUCCAGGGCCUGACAGCAGAAAC
rnacentral:lncRNA from 9 species